GUCAAAGGAAUCCUAGUGGACAUGGCAUCUGCCAGGUAAGCGGAACACUGUGGGUUCGAUUCCCAUUCCUGGACA
rnacentral:tRNA from 1 species